AUGACAAAGCAGAAGGCAAUGUUCUUCCAUCCCAAUAUUACAAUAUAUACUCACACUCAGAUAGGCACGAUGAUAUGGCCUAUCCUAUUAGAUUUAGUAUAAACAAUGUGCAAAGGCAAUCAUUGCUUUUACUUAUAAACAAAAUGGAUUGCUUAUUGGUUGCAAGUUUAGAACAAUGGAGAAAAUAUUUGGCAGAAGGGGUUGUCGUCAGAGUACGGGGGUUCUGUCUUCCGUGUCUUCGCCGGUAUGGUGUAGAGGGGAACUAGAUUCAAGGUCCGAUUUUGGCCGAAAGCGGUUCGGACUCGAAUACUGGGCCGGUGUGUGCUACUGAGGCCCAAGGUGGCAGUGCUUUUUGUUCAUAUAACUUUGCUACAGAUCCUGUUUGGACAUAAGAAGUGGGCUGAGAUGAAAGUAAUUAACAUUUCAAAUGUUCCUGGAGCUUAGCAACAGACAAAAAGAUGAUCAACUCCACUUAUCCAUGAAACCCUAUUAGUUAACUCCUCAAAUUGACUAUGAUAUUCCUCCGUCGUACCAUUCUUCCCAAAUUAGAGACUCCCACGUGUAUUGGAUGUUGUUGUUCACCCCCCAGCGAUACCAUGCAUAAGCAGCUCCCACCAAAUGGAAGGACAUCACCCUAAUCCUUUGUUCAAUAUUGCCGAGCUCGAAACACCCAGUCAUCCAGACCAUCGCCUUCAAACAUUGGCAGCUCGGCCAUCUUCACUUUCCCCGGACCCGUGACUAAAAGCCACCCCACAUCGAGUCGUCCCCUGGCCCGACGGAAUCCUCAACUUUCUCCUUCAACUUCACAUUUUUUCGUAACAACUUCCCAAUUGACGGUAACGACAACUUCAAAGACUUAAGUUGAUGCUGAGUCUCAUCUGCCCUCUCGUUGGCCUCGGCGAGUUCCGUCCGUCAUCUCCGGACACUCAAUGAAAGCACCAAUUGAUAGAUCACUGCAAUAUAACAAUAACAGCACAUUCCACACUAGAGUGAACAACACAAUCAAGUAUGCGAGAAUCAAUAAAAGAAUAGCGAGUAAAAGAAUGUAUAUCACCCAAGAAAGGAACAAAGCAACGCCAAUUCUCCCUAUUCGAGUUGGGAAGAAACUCCACUCAAUUACCAAAUCAAUUACACACCUCACUCCACAACAUUCCACUCCCCUCUAUUCAUACCCCUAAGAGGAAUGCUAGAAGGCCAGCAACUUU